GGAUGUGAGGGUGAUCUGGCUGCGUCAUCUGUCACCUCAUUGAUGGCCGGGCUUGAUGCGGUGGAUCUGGCUGGCUAGGUGGGUGUCCCCUUCCUCCCUCACCGCUCCAUGUGCAUCCCUCCCGAAGCCGUGCACUCGGUUGAAGAGGACGGCCUUCCCGGAAUAGAGACAGAUUGGUCUUUGGUCGAGGGUAUAGGUGCGCUCCCUGGCUGGAACCUCCAAAAAAGCUCUCAAGGAAACAACCCCAUGGUGAAAUGUUUGUGUCAGUUAAAAACAACUGGAGACGUGUCUCAGAUAUUGAAAAUCGGUGUGCUGCUUCUCAAU
rfam:Erinaceus europaeus unplaced genomic scaffold scaffold00735, whole genome shotgun sequence